rnacentral:lncRNA from 1 species
UACCGCGGUUAUAACCGCGGCCUAAAGUCUGUGACUUACUACCGCGGCUGAAUAUACCGCGGUUCGUAAACCGCGACCUAUAGUGAAAAAUAACCGCGGUAAAAUCCCCUCGCUGCACUAGUGCAUGGAGCAAAACCAAAAACAAUAAGCCCUUUCUCUACCUUUCUUUUCUAUUAUAGUGAUAAAUUUUUGUUAUUAGCUUGCUUAGUCUUAGAUAGUAUAGUAAAUAGUAGAAUAGAAAAUAUGCUCUUUUAUAUAAAAAUUAAAAAGAUUAAUUUUGAUUUGUGGCCAAUUUGAAAGAGUUCUUUUUAGUUUUGUAGUUUUAGUUUUUUUUUGUAUGUUUUUCCUAAUUCUGUUUUGUACAUAUCUUGUUCAAUAUGUGUUUUCUUAAUUCCAUUUUUUUUUGUAUAAUUCUGAUUUCUAUGCUGAUUUCAUUUUGAUUUCUAUGCUGAUUUCAUUCUGAUUCCUAUAC